GCACUUUGGGAUAAGCCUGGGAAACUGGGUCUAAUACCGAAUACACCUCAUGGGAUGCAUGUUUUGUGGGGGAAAGCUUUUGCGGUGUGGGAUGGGCCCGCGGCCUAUCAGCUUGUUGGUGAGGUUACGGCUCACCAAGGCGACGACGGGUAGCCGGCCUGAGAGGGUGUCCGGCCACACUGGGACUGAGAUACGGCCCAGACUCCUACGGGAGGCAGCAGUGGGGAAUAUUGCACAAUGGGCGCAAGCCUGAUGCAGCGACGCCGCGUGAGGGAUGACGGCCUUCGGGUUGUAAACCUCUUUCGCCAGGGACGAAGCGCAAGUGACGGUACCUGGAGAAGAAGCACCGGCCAACUACGUGCCAGCAGCCGCGGUAAUUCA
rnacentral:rRNA from 1 species